ACAAAUUAUUAAUAUCUCUCUUAAUUUUCAUAUAUACAUAAUGUAAAUAGUUCUCAGCUGAAGUUACAAAAAAUUAAUGUGACACAAAUAAUCCUAACUGCUACUAUUCAUGUUAAAUUUUAAAAAUUAUUCAAGCGAGUUCUAUUCCCAUUAAGCAUAAAAUCCCCCUAUUUUAAUUAAUUUGCAGAAUAAAUUUUCCAGAAUACACUCUUUAUGCCCUGCCUAUUGCCUUUUCUGCAAGGGGCCCAGCAGAAUAACAGUAUUCAUGGCUCUUACGAUAAAGAGUAAUCUCUAAGAGAUUUACCACACCAUAACUAUCUCUUUCCCCCACAAACAAUUAAAUAAAAGAGGGGAGUAUGAAGGCAUAAUAAGUCUAAUUUGAGGUUUGAUUUUUCACCAGUUUAAAAAGCUUUUUACAAAUGAUGAGUUUUAUUUUGUCUUUUUAUAAUUGAUGUGUUUUACUUUCACACUUGAUGUGUUAAACUACAAUUUUAGUUAGUGGAAAAGUAACAGAAGUUUUAAUGAGAAUGAAAAAUCAAGUGAAGAGGAGGUGUAUGUAAGCUGUUUGAUGGUAAGAUGAGGGGUAGUAGUGUAGAAUACUUAAAAGACUAUUAAAAGGAAGAGAAAAGGAGGAGAAAGAAGAAAAAAGAAAAGGGAGACAGUGAGAGAGGGAGCAAAAGGGAAAAGGAGUGGUUUACUAGGAAUAAAAGGUAUUAAGUUGGGAGCAAAGAAAUGAAAGAGAAGGGUUUAUUUAUUUAGUCAGUGUUACAUUAAUCAUUACAUUACUUUCUUACCUAUACCUUUUAGUCUUUACAUUUGUCAAAAUUGAUUUCUUGUGUGCAUCCCUUUGAUGUUUACCUAUACAACACCUUGUGUGAGUUUCAAAAUAAUCUAAUUGAUGGUAUGAGUUCUAUAUUUCAGAGAAAAAUCAGGAAAGACAAAUGAGGCAACCUUGCCAAAUGUGCUGUGUUUCUUGGUCUAAAAAGCCUAGCAAUCUGUUUCUGAGUACCUAGCAGAACAGAAGAGAAGAAAAUAAAGACCACAAGAAGAAAGAACAAAAGACUGAUUGAAGGGACUUUUAAAAAGUAGAGUCUUUCCAUUGAGACUGUUGUCACAAGUUCAGCUAAGAUUAUUAGUUUUAUAGUUGUCGUUGUUGUGUUAGUAGUGUUCUACUGUUCUUUUUGUCUCUGGGAAUUCCUUUUUGAGUUGUCAUAAUCCCACUAUAAAUCGUCCAAUAAGUACUAAGUAAUUUAAGUUUUUAAGAAUAUCCUAGGGCCAUAACCUGAAAACUAUCCUCUGUUUCUAAAAGAAAAUAAAAGGGGAAGUUGUGGAGUGCCCCCACCCCAGGAGGUGGGGAUUCUACCUACACAAACAGCAUUGAGUGAGGGGCGUGACUAAAGAAGAUUCUGCCCCUCCACCCUGUGGGGUGUGCCCCCUCAAACCCGGGAAAAGGCACUCUACCCCAUUUUGUCAGAUAAGGAAUGGCCCCAGAAUGUUCUUCCUUUCCUGUACCCUCGGUGGUUUAAAUUUUACUGCAGUGUCCCCACCUUAGCUCUUCCCAUUGGUUGUCCUCCUCAGUCCACCCCUUUGCAGUCUCCUGCUUGUCUUGCUAUUGAACCCUGACCCUAAACUCCACCCUUAUCCUGGCAUAUAAAACCCAUGACUCUGCCCUCGUUCUUGUCUUGGUCCCUGACGCAAUAAAGGAUUCUGAAUUUUGCUAAACCGAGACCCAUCCUGUGGUCAUCUUUUCCUGUUGGUCAUUAGUAGCUGCCUGAGGUCCAAGACUUCAGGGCCCAGGGGAGUUGUUGCACCCCUCGUUGUGGCAGAAUGCAGUGAAAUCCAACAUAAAAAAUCAAUUAUUUGUUAUAGGAGCACUUAACCAUGAAGGCUAAGGCAAAAUACUCUUUGGAAUAUGUCCAUGGCAACUGGGACAAAAGUUAACCUAAAAAACAGAAAAGCAGUUUUCCAGCCCACAUCUCUUGCAAAUACUCUCUGCAGGGGUAAAGAUAUAUGCAUAUUUUUGUAGGGCUGAAUCUUAACAACUUAUUUCUCUCAUUGCUAAUGUAAGAACCCCAUUUGUCUGACAUGAAUGUUUCUAAUUAUAUAUUCAUGGAGCUGGAUCUCGAACUUAAAUGCAUCAUGGCUAAGUACUUUACUGAAUCUAGAUGUAAAUGAAAAGCUUGAUAGAAUAAUCUAUAAAUAACUCCCUUAAAAAUCAACUUCCUUAGGAAACCGUGCUUGAAUUAAUUAUUCCAUUUUCCAUAAAUGGAAAUGUUUCCAUAAACAUCCACUCACAUUUAUGUGUUGCAUGGAAAAUUAAAUCAUUAUUGCACAGCCACAAAAGAGCCUCAUCGUGGCCUAACUUUUCCACAUGUCCAGCACAUUGUAAUGUCUGUACUAAUUAAUUUGGUGUUUCAUGCUUAGUUUCAGUUUCCAGAAUACCUCACUGCACUGAAAAUGCUUCUGCUUUCAGCUCUGAGGAGGCUGAGCUCUUGUGCUGGCAAGUGCUUGUGCACUGGCAGAAGUGCUUUGGAGGGGUGGCCAAGAGGAAAAGCGUUCUUUCAGAAAAAAAAGAUCUUACAGCUAUUCUUCCCUUGCCAGAUUUAUAAAAUUUCAGCAGUUCUCCACAGCCCAGUGAAAUCAUCACAGAUCCAUUUUAUUCAGCUGAUUCUUGCUGCUCUGUGUUCCUGUUUUGAGCUAUGGACCGACCUUCUGGGCUGAGCAGUUGGAUGGAGAGUUCAAAAUUGCAGCUGCCAGAAUAAAUGAUCAGUAAUGGUAGAGAUAACUUUGGCAAUAAGGCCUGUUCCCUAUAUUAGGAAAUGUUUUUUAAUUUAAAUUAAUUUUUGUCCAAGUAUGUGUAUGUGUGCACGUGCAUGCAGGCACUCCCAGAAAUUGAGAGUGUAUGAUCUGAGCUGUGUAUAGUUCUAAUGCAAAAUUUUCUGUAGUAUUUCUAAAUAAAACUGUGGUUUAAAAAAACACUCUGUUUAAAAGGUUUAGAAGAAACA